rnacentral:tRNA from 3 species
GAGAGAGGCCCGAAGCUAAUAGAGACUGCUAAUCCCUAGACCCGCGGUUUAACUCCGCGGCUCACUCG